AAUAAUUUUAUAUGAAGUGUCUGGACUUACAUUUAAAUUUUUAUCAUUGGUGUUGCCAAUGGGUCUAUUAACUAUGAAGCGUUAUAGAGUCUAGCACUUAAGUUUUGCAGGUUUAUGAGAAAUAUUUACCAUUUUAAAAAAUAUCAUCAUAAAAGAAGUCAUCAGUGCUUUAGCACAACUAAAUAUAUAAUUCUGCCUAGUAGUCAUGGUAUUUUCACAAUAGAGAAAAUUCACUCUCUAAAAAAGAGAAACAUUUAGUUUUUAAAAAAAGGAGGGAAAUGCUUUCAAAAUUUGAGUACAACUUUUGUUACACAGUAAUGUAUCUAAUCAGUUUCUUUUUCUGCACUAAAGAUAAGGGAAAUGGAUUCAAAAGAAGCAGAAAUUGAUGAUGGCAUUCUAAACUCAUAUCAGUAUCUUGUUUCUUGAGCUAUUUCAUCAAUAUCUGAAAAAUAAGAUUUCCCCUGAGAUUCACACAAUGUGUCUCCUUUUGCAUGUUUGUUUAUUUUCUUAUGUGGCAAACUGUUUCAAAUGCAAUUAAUUUUCUUUCAUUUGGUACUAUGAAGAUGAGGGCAUCUUAAAGGAGUUCCCAAGAUUCAGGAGGAAACAGGAGAAGUCUUGAGGAGCGUUUAUUACCACGCCCCAGGAGAGAUACUCUUGCUCUGGAAGAAAACACAUUGAAUUGAUGAUCAUGGUUAACCUUUGGAGAGAGAGAGGAGACCAGGAUGAAGGAGCCAGUCCAAGCUGGACCUCCCGUCUGUAACCUGCACCUGCAGUUCACAGGAUUCAGCUCGGAGAGCUCUGUACUUCCAGGCCACUCAGAUGGGGCCUUGUUCUGUCACGGAGGCGGGAGUAGAGUGGCACGAGCACGGCUCACUGCAGCCUUGACCUUUGGGCUCAAGCAAUCCUUACACCUCAGGACCCCACACUCAGCCCCCCG